UGUCUUUUUGUUGCAGUAUACUGCUCGAUGUAAUAUGAAGAAUGUGAAGAAUUUUUUGUAUUCUCUCAACGAUGGCAAGAUACCAAGAAUGAAAUUUAAUUUAUUGCUUGCUCCGGAAGAGGUCUCUGAGAUGUUGACCGGAUAUGUACGCAAUGGAGUGACAUGUAUCGGCAUGAAAACUGACAUUCCGAUUAUUUUGGACGAAGCAAUUGUAAAGCUUGAUCCGGACUUCUUUUGGAUGGGAGGUGGAGAUAUAGAUUUGAAGCUGGGAAUCAGAACGUCCGAAUUCAUCAACUAUCUGAACCCUUUUAUUGUGAACUGCAGCAGCUCUUAACUUGCCAAUGUACAUCAAUUAAUAUAGCAUCAGGACAUGGCUAGACCGCGAUUUCAUGGUAAAUCGUCUCCCUGAAAAUUCCGUUUCCCAUUAUACUUGAAGUCUACAACUUUGUGGCUACACCUUCAGAAUGCUUAUAUUUUCUAGAAUUAAUUUGGUAAACAGUUUUUGUAUUUUCCUUUACACCAGAGGAAACAAGUUAAAUAUA